rnacentral:rRNA from 1 species
CCUACGGGAGGCAGCAGUGGGGAAUAUUGCACAAAUGGGCGAAAGCCUGAUGCAGCAACGCCGCGUGAGUGAUGAAGGCCUUCGGGUUGUAAAGCUCUGUCUUCUGGGACGAUAAUGACGGUACCAGAGGAGGAAGCCACGGCUAACUACGUGCCAGCAGCCGCGGUAAUACGUAGGUGGCAAGCGUUGUCCGGAUUUACUGGGCGUAAAGGAUGCGUAGGCGGAUACUUAAGUCAGAUGUGAAAAUCCCGAGCUUAACUUGGGAACUGCAUUUGAAACUGAGUAUCUAGAGUGCGGGAGAGGAGAGUGGAAUUCCUAGUGUAGCGGUGAAAUGCGUAGAGAUUAGGAAGAACACCAGUGGCGAAGGCGACUCUCUGGACCGUAACUGACGCUGAGGCAUGAAAGCGUGGGGAGCAAACAGGAUUAGAUACCCUGGUAGUCCACGCCGUAAACUAUGAAUACUAGGUGUGGGAGUUGUCAUGACUUCCGUGCCGCAGUUAACACAAUAAGUAUUCCGCCUGGGGAGUACGGUCGCAAGAACCCCUCAAAGGAAUUGACGG